rnacentral:rRNA from 1 species
GACGAACGCUGGCGGCGUGCCUAAUACAUGCAAGUCGAACGCUUUUUCUUUCACCGGAGCUUGCUCCACCGAAAGAAAAAGAGUGGCGAACGGGUGAGUAACACGUGGGUAACCUGCCCAUCAGAAGGGGAUAACACUUGGAAACAGGUGCUAAUACCGUAUAACACUAUUUUCCGCAUGGAAGAAAGUUGAAAGGCGCUUUUGCGUCACUGAUGGAUGGACCCGCGGUGCAUUAGCUAGUUGGUGAGGUAACGGCUCACCAAGGCAACGAUGCAUAGCCGACCUGAGAGGGUGAUCGGCCACACUGGGACUGAGACACGGCCCAGACUCCUACGGGAGGCAGCAGUAGGGAAUCUUCGGCAAUGGACGAAAGUCUGACCGAGCAACGCCGCGUGAGUGAAGAAGGUUUUCGGAUCAUAAAACUCUGUUGUUAGAGAAGAACAAGGAUGAGAGUAAAACGUUCAUCCCU